GCUUAAAAAAACCCAGCACGCAGUAACAGCCUCACAUGGAAGUGCAGCUUGAUUUAUGAAAGGUAAAUUAUAGAAUCCAGACUUGCAAGAUACUGAGUGCCUUUUAUGAAAUGCAGGCAGCUGAAGGGAUCACUGUGCCACUACCAGCAUGACUGAGAUGGCGGCAAGAGAGUCCCACUGGAGUACCUUGCAAGGAUAGGGAGCUGCACCCUGCUGGUGCAGUUAUGGAUGGUGAGUUAUGGAUUUCCACAGGGAGAGAGGACCAGCAUGCAGACAAAGUUGGGGUGAGAGAACCCAGAACUGUCAUUCCUUGGGCCAGAGGGACAAAGAUGUGUCAAAGAGGGGUUCCUACCCCGGUGAAUAAUCAAUGCAAUGUCAUGGAUGGCAGCUAUAGAAGAGUAAGCGGCCUCCUACAGUUCCAGCUGAAGAAAGAAUGACAGAAUUUGGGCCUGCUGAGGUGCUGUAAAUACAGCAUUCAGGUAUCAUGAGACUGAAGCACUUUCCUUCCUUAAUAAGAAGACUGGAAAAGUCUGCCUACCAGGCAGAGAGGAGGCAAACAUUCAGCUGCCUCAUGUGAUCAGUCUUCCAAUCCUUAACUAUCCCCUACUGACCAGACAAGAAGCCUACUCUGAUGUUGGCUGCAAAGACAACUGGCCAGCAGCAGCUAUCUCUACAGAGCUGAAAUGUGCCAAAUACUGGUCAGUCUAUGGACAAGUUUAAAUAAAAAGGAGCAUUGAAAAUAAACUAAAAUAAUAAAAUGAUGAUAGCAUCAGCAGGCUUGUUUUUCACCUUUUCUUAAGUCUGAACCUUUAGACUUUUUUUUCCUCAUUACUACUAUUUUAAAAAACGGAGUGUCACAUUU